AGUCGAACGAGAAUCUACUGAAGGAGGAUUCGUCCAACGGAAGUAGAGGAAAGUGGCGGACGGGUGAGUAACGCGUGAGGAACCUGCCUUGAAGAGGGGGACAACAGUUGGAAACGACUGCUAAUACCGCAUGAAGCAUAGGGGUCGCAUGAUCUUUAUGCCAAAGAUUUAUCGCUUCAAGAUGGCCUCGCGUCUGAUUAGCUGGUUGGCGGGGUAACGGCCCACCAAGGCGACGAUCAGUAGCCGGACUGAGAGGUUGAACGGCCACAUUGGGACUGAGAUACGGCCCAGACUCCUACGGGAGGCAGCAGUGGGGAAUAUUGGGCAAUGGGCGCAAGCCUGACCCAGCAACGCCGCGUGAAGGAAGAAGGCUUUCGGGUUGUAAACUUCUUUUAAGAGGGAAGAGCAGAAGACGGUACCUCUAGAAUAAGCCACGGCUAACUACGUGCCAGCAGCCGCGGUAAUACGUAGGUGGCAAGCGUUGUCCGGAUUUACUGGGUGUAAAGGGCGUGCAGCCGGGUCUGCAAGUCAGAUGUGAAAUCCAUGGGCUCAACCCAUGAACUGCAUUUGAAACUGUAGAUCUUGAGUGUCGGAGGGGCAAUCGGAAUUCCUAGUGUAGCGGUGAAAUGCGUAGAUAUUAGGAGGAACACCAGUGGCGAAGGCGGAUUGCUGGACGAUAACUGACGGUGAGGCGCGAAAGUGUGGGGAGCAA
rnacentral:rRNA from 1 species